UACGUAGGCAGCGAGCGUUGUUCGGAUUCAUUGGGCGUAAAGGGUGCGUAGGCGGCGCGGUAAGUCGGGUGUGAAAUCUUGGAGCUUAACUCCGAAACUGCAUUCGAUACUGCCGUGCUUGAGGACUGGAGAGGAGACUGGAAUUUACGGUGUAGCGGUGAAAUGCGUAGAUAUCGAGAGGAACACCUGCGGCGAAGGCGGGUUGCUGGGCCGACACUGACGCUGAGGCGCGAAAGCCAGGGGAGCGAACGGG
rnacentral:rRNA from 1 species